rnacentral:rRNA from 1 species
GGCACGCCUUAUACAUGCAAGUCGAACGAAGUAGUAAUACUUAGUGGCAGACGGGUGAGUAACAUGUAGGUAUCUCCCCUUUGGUGAGGAAUAACACGAGGAAACUUGUGCUAAUACCUCAUAAGUCUUUACAGAGAAAGCUUUAUGCGCCGAAGGAUGAGCCUGCACUUGAUUAGUUUGUUGGUGGGGUAAUGGCCUACCAAGACUUUGAUCAAUAGCUGAUCUGAGAGGAUGAUCAGCCACAUUGGGACUGAGACACGGCCCAAACUCCUACGGGAGGCAGCAGUAGGGAAUAUUGCACAAUGGAGGAAACUCUGAUGCAGCGAUGCCGCGUGAGUGAAGAAGGCCUUUGGGUUGUAAAGCUCUUUCGUCGGGGAAGAAAAUGACUGUACCCGAAUAAGAAGGUCCGGCUAACUUCGUGCCAGCAGCCGCGGUAAUACGAAGGGACCUAGCGUAGUUCGGAAUUACUGGGCUUAAAGAGUUCGUAGGUGGUUAAAAAAGUUGGUGGUGAAAUCCCAGAGCUUAACUCUGGAACUGCCAUCAAAACUUUUUAGCUAGAGUAUGAUAGAGGAAAGCAGAAUUUCUAGUGUAGAGGUGAAAUUCGUAGAUAUUAGAAAGAAUACCAAUUGCGAAGGCAGCUUUCUGGAUCAUUACUGACACUGAGGAACGAAAGCAUGGGUAGCGAAGAGGAUUAGAUACCCUCGUAGUCCAUGCCGUAAACGAUGUGUGUUAGACGUUGGAAAUUUAUUUUCAGUGUCGCAGCGAAAGCGUUAAACACACCGCCUGGGGAGUACGACC